UACGUAGGGUGCAAGCGUUAAUCGGAAUUACUGGGCGUAAAGGGCUCGUAGGUGGCCAACUAAGUCAGACGUGAAAUCCCUCGGCUUAACCGGGGAACUGCGUCUGAUACUGGAUGGCUUGAGUUUGGGAGAGGGAUGCGGAAUUCCAGCUGUAGCGGUGAAAUGCGUAGAUAUCUGGAGGAACACCGGUGGCGAAGGCGGCAUCCUGGACCAACACUGACACUGAGGAGCGAAAGCCAGGGGAGCAAACGGG
rnacentral:rRNA from 1 species